UGCGUAGGCGGGUAUGUAAGUCAGUGGUGAAAUCUCAGAGCUUAACUCUGAAACUGCCAUUGAUACUAUAUAUCUUGAAUAUUGUGGAGGUAAGCGGAAUAUGUCAUGUAGCGGUGAAAUGCUUAGAUAUGACAUAGAACACCCAUUGCGAAGGCAGCUUACUACACAUAUAUUGACGCUGAGGCACGAAAGCGUGGGGAUCAAACAGGAUUAGAUACCCUGGUAGUCCACGCCCUAAACGAUGAUUACUCGACAUACGCAAUACACCGUGUGUGUCUGAGCGAAAGCAUUAAGUAAUCCACCUGGGAAGUACGACCGCAAGGUUGAA
rnacentral:rRNA from 1 species